AGUAAGAGUUUUCCUUUGCAACAGCAUCGUCAUCGGACUUCACUGGAUCUACGACUACAGAACAGUCAACAUCUCUUUACUGAGUUUUCACCCUUCAAUCAUUCACCUACUUAAUUUAUACCUUACGCACCAGCGUAACUAUCUUUUCUACAAAGUUGUUAGAAUUAUAUAAUAUCUUUGAACAGUCAACAUCUCUUUAUCGGGUUUUCACCCUUCAAUCAUUCACCUACUUAAUUUAUACCUUACGCACCAGCGUAACUAUCUUUUCUACAAAGUUGUUGGAAUUAUAUAAUAUCUUUGAACUGUUAA